GGCUCCGUAGGAGGAGUUCCCUGGUUUCCCAAGAGGUCUUCAGACGCUUCUCCAACUUUUGUAACGCCCAAAGCUCUAAGUAGCUCCCUUCCUAUGGGAAAAAGAGUUCGGGAAACUGGCCUUAGCGUGCAAGAAGAAGCACAAGAGUUAGCAAUGAUCCAGCAGGAAAAUGCAUACCUGGUUGCCGACGGCAUGAUUACAGCCGAAGAAGCAGCAUCCGCGGAAGCAGCAAUAACAAAAAAGGAUCUCCUACCUCAAACAAAAAAGAAAAAGCUAGGAUCAAGCGCAAAAUUGUUGACAGAAGUUGUUUCCAAUUUGGAAGAUUUUAAGUCAUUAGAGAUGAAAAAAAUGGAAAUGUUUGAAAGGAGGCAGAAAGAGCGGGAUGAACAAACAGCUAAAAGAGACUUGUACAUACAGGAAACGGAGGCCCAAAAAAUCAAAAUAGCAAGUUCUUUAGUGGACGUGUUAAGUUCCCUCGUUCGCAAAAAAAAAAAAAAAAAAAAUAGAAAAAGGUUUCCAUCUUCUUCCAGCUCAGAAUCAUCUUGAAUGAUGUUACGAUACAGCUGUUACCUGUAAAGAACACUACAGAAAAAUUAGUGAAAACAUACCAAGACAAAUAACACCCAUCUACUGACACUAAUUGUAUUUUCCUCUCUGAUAGAUGCUCAAUACAAGCUGUUUGAAUAAUAACUAAAAAUGCUUUUGUAACUAGUCGGACAACUCCUGUUGCCAUUAAUUGUUUCAAAUGGGACGUAGAACAUCCUUAUUAGCAGCAACAGCAGAACGCAGGCAUUCCUAGGGCUUUCCAUCCCAUGACAACUAGUACGAUGUGCAACCAAGUUAACCAGACUCAUUUGGGAUA